rnacentral:siRNA from 1 species
UCAAAACAUGGUGUAUGUCG